CAACCAUAUCAGGCUGAAAUCACCAGAUCUCAUCAAAUCAACGAAGUUAAACAUCAUAGAGGCCGGUCAGUACUUAAGAGGGUGACCACUCAGGAACACCACGUGUCGUUGG